rfam:Pseudomonas alcaligenes NBRC 14159 DNA, contig: PA6003.
UUCGGGCCUGCAGCGGGUUCCCCGUUGCCCCUCAAGCCGUCGCCGACGCACCCUCCCCGAUAAUAUCGAGCGAUCCAGUCGCCUUCUCCGCGGCGCGGC